rnacentral:rRNA from 1 species
GACGAACGCUGGCGGCGUGCUUAACACAUGCAAGUCGAACGGUAAGGCCCCUUCGGGGGUACACGAGUGGCGAACGGGUGAGUAACACGUGGGUGAUCUGCCCUGCACUUCGGGAUAAGCCUGGGAAACUGGGUCUAAUACCGGAUAGGACCACGCUCUGCAUGGAGUGUGGUGGAAAGCUUUUGCGGUGUGGGAUGGGCCCGCGGCCUAUCAGCUUGUUGGUGGGGUGAUGGCCUACCAAGGCGACGACGGGUAGCCGGCCUGAGAGGGUGUCCGGCCACACUGGGACUGAGAUACGGCCCAGACUCCUACGGGAGGCAGCAGUGGGGAAUAUUGCACAAUGGGCGCAAGCCUGAUGCAGCGACGCCGCGUGGGGGAUGACGGCCUUCGGGUUGUAAACCUCUUUCAGUACCGACGAAGCGCAAGUGACGGUAGGUACAGAAGAAGCACCGGCCAACUACGU